ACGGAGGGUGCAAGCGUUAAUCGGAAUUACUGGGCGUAAAGCGCACGCAGGCGGUUUGUUAAGUCAGAUGUGAAAUCCCCGGGCUCAACCUGGGAACUGCAUCUGAUACUGGCAAGCUUGAGUCUCGUAGAGGGGGGUAGAAUUCCAGGUGUAGCGGCGCAAUGCGUAGAGAUCGGGAGGAAGGCCGGUGGGGAAGGCGGCCCCCUGGACGAAGACUGACGCGUAGGUGCGAAAGCGUGGGGAGCAAACAG
rnacentral:rRNA from 1 species